UACGGGGGGGGCAAGCGUUGUUCGGAAUUACUGGGCGUAAAGGGUCUGUAGGUGGCUUGCUAAGUCAGACGUGAAAUCCCUCGGCUUAACCGGGGAACUGCGUCUGAUACUGGCGAGCUUGAGUGCAGGAGAGGAACGCGGAAUUCCAGGUGUAGCGAUGAAAUGCGUAGAUAUCUGGAGGAACACCGGUGGCGAAGGCGGCGUUCUGGACUGCAACUGACACUGAGAGACGAAAGCCAGGGGAGCAAACGGG
rnacentral:rRNA from 1 species